rnacentral:lncRNA from 1 species
AGAGAGUCAGUUAAGAUAAGUGUUACGAGUGAAGCAUUUGAAAAUGAAGAGCAGAAUCGUACUGAAACAAACAGAGAUACAACAGAAUUUGAAAGACAAAGAUUCAAGCUCGCCAACCAAUUAGUUGAAUCAACUGUAUCAAGUUGGGGCAGAGAUAAGGAAAACCUCCAAGGCCACAAACCAACCACCAAUUUUAAAAUCUCACAAUUUUUUUUCUCUCUCUCUUUGCUUGAACAGGGGCAAAGCAAUCUUGUGAAGUUUAGUGAAAAAAAGUAUAGCAAAGUUAAGUUUUCUUGAAUUUUCUCUCUUUGCU